rnacentral:tRNA from 1 species
GCGAGAGUGGCGGAAUUGGCAGACGCGCUGGAUUUAGGAUCCUGUGUCCUCGUGGCGUGAGGGUUCGAGUCCCUCCUCUCGCA